rnacentral:rRNA from 1 species
AGUGAAUAGAUACCCGGGUAGUCCACGCCGUAAACGAUGGAUGCUAGCUGUUAUUCGUAUCGACCCGAGUAGUAGCGAAAGCUAACGCGUUAAGCAUCCCGCCUGUGGAGUACGGUCGCAAGACUAAAACAUAAAGGAAUUGACGGGGACCCGCACAAGCGGUGGAGCGUGUUGUUUAAUUCGAUGAUAAGCGAAGAACCUUACCAGGGCUUGACAUCCUGCUAAUUUCUCCGAAAGGAGAGAGUGCCUUCGGGCCGCAGUGACAGGCGUUGCAUGGCCGUCGUCAGCUCGUGUCGUGAGAUGUUUGGUUAAGUCCAUCAACGAGCGCAACCCUUGUAACUAGUUGGAUUUUUCUAGUUAGACUGUCCCGGCAACGGGGAGGAAGGAGGGGAUGAUGUCAGGUCAGUAUUACCCUUACGUCCUGGGCUACAAACACGCUACAAUGGCCGGUACAAAGGGCAGCCAAGUCGCGAGACGGAGCAAAUCCCAUCAAAGCCGGUCUCAGUUCGGAUAGCAGGCUGAAACCCGCCUGCUUGAAGCUGGAA